GAUGAACGCUGGCGGCGUGCCUAAUACAUGCAAGUCGAGCGAACAGACGAGGAACUUGCUCCUCUGACGUUAGCGGCGGACGGGUGAGUAACACGUGGAUAACCUACCUAUAAGACUGGGAUAACUUCGGGAAACCGGAGCUAAUACCGGAUAACAUGUUGAACCGCAUGGUUCAACAGUGAAAGACGGUCUUGCUGUCACUUAUAGAUGGAUCCGCGCCGCAUUAGCUAGUUGGUAAGGUAACGGCUUACCAAGGCAACGAUGCGUAGCCGACCUGAGAGGGUGAUCGGCCACACUGGAACUGAGACACGGUCCAGACUCCUACGGGAGGCAGCAGUAGGGAAUCUUCCGCAAUGGGCGAAAGCCUGACGGAGCAACGCCGCGUGAGUGAAGAAGGUCUUCGGAUCGUAAAACUCUGUUAUUAGGGAAGAACAAAUGUGUAAGUAACUAUGCACGUCUUGACGGUACCUAAUCAGAAAGCCACGGCUAACUACGUGCCAGCAGCCGCGGUAAUACGUAGGUGGCAAGCGUUAUCCGGAAUUAUUGGGCGUAAAGCGCGCGUAGGCGGUUUUUUAAGUCUGAUGUGAAAGCCCACGGCUCAACCGUGGAGGGUCAUUGGAAACUGGAAAACUUGAGUGCAGAAGAGGAAAGUGGAAUUCCAUGUGUAGCGGUGAAAUGCGCAGAGAUAUGGAGGAACACCAGUGGCGAAGGCGACUUUCUGGUCUGUAACUGACGCUGAUGUGCGAAAGCGUGGGGAUCAAACAGGAUUAGAUACCCUGGUAGUCCACGCCGUAAACGAUGAGUGCUAAGUGUUAGGGGGUUUCCGCCCCUUAGUGCUGCAGCUAACGCAUUAAGCACUCCGCCUGGGGAGUACGACCGCAAGGUUGAAACUCAAAGGAAUUGACGGGGACCCGCACAAGCGGUGGAGCAUGUGGUUUAAUUCGAAGCAACGCGAAGAACCUUACCAAAUCUUGACAUCCUCUGACCCCUCUAGAGAUAGAGUUUUCCCCUUCGGGGGACAGAGUGACAGGUGGUGCAUGGUUGUCGUCAGCUCGUGUCGUGAGAUGUUGGGUUAAGUCCCGCAACGAGCGCAACCCUUAAGCUUAGUUGCCAUCAUUAAGUUGGGCACUCUAAGUUGACUGCCGGUGACAAACCGGAGGAAGGUGGGGAUGACGUCAAAUCAUCAUGCCCCUUAUGAUUUGGGCUACACACGUGCUACAAUGGACAAUACAAAGGGCAGCGAAACCGCGAGGUCAAGCAAAUCCCAUAAAGUUGUUCUCAGUUCGGAUUGUAGUCUGCAACUCGACUACAUGAAGCUGGAAUCGCUAGUAAUCGUAGAUCAGCAUGCUACGGUGAAUACGUUCCCGGGUCU
rnacentral:rRNA from 1 species